UACGGAGGGUGCAAGCGUUAUCCGGAUUCACUGGGUUUAAAGGGUGCGUAGGUGGGUCUGUAAGUCCGUGGUGAAAUCUCCGAGCUUAACUUGGAAACUGCCAUGGAUACUAUAGGUCUUGAAUACUGUGGAGGUCAGCGGAAUAUGUCAUGUAGCGGUGAAAUGCUUAGAUAUGACAUAGAACACCAAUUGCGAAGGCAGCUGGCUACACAAAUAUUGACACUGAACGGCGAAAGCUAGGGGAGCAAACGGG
rnacentral:rRNA from 1 species